GGGCGUUGGAUGAGUGAGAGGCGUUGGAUCGAUUUCACUCAAUCCAAGCCUCACAUUCAUCAAGUGUUCGU
rfam:Nicotiana sylvestris Nsyl_contig62171, whole genome shotgun sequence.